GGCCUCCAUCAUUCAUGUAGCUCAGUUGGUAGAGCAUAGAGCUCGCAACUCCAGGGUUGUGGGUUCGAUUCCCACGGGGGGCCA